rnacentral:rRNA from 1 species
GACGAACGUUGGCGGCGUGCUUAACACAUGCAAGUCGAACGGAAAGGCCCUGCUUUUGUGGGGUGCUCGAGUGGCGAACGGGUGAGUAACACGUGAGUAACCUGCCCUUGACUUUGGGAUAACUUCAGGAAACUGGGGCUAAUACCGGAUAGGAGCUCCUGCUGCAUGGUGGGGGUUGGAAAGUUUCGGCGGUUGGGGAUGGACUCGCGGCUUAUCAGCUUGUUGGUGGGGUAGUGGCUUACCAAGGCUUUGACGGGUAGCCGGCCUGAGAGGGUGACCGGCCACAUUGGGACUGAGAUACGGCCCAGACUCCUACGGGAGGCGGCAGUGGGGAAUAUUGCACAAUGGGCGGAAGCCUGAUGCAGCAACGCCGCGUGCGGGAUGACGGCCUUCGGGUUGUAAACCGCUUUCGCCUGUGACGAAGCGUGAGUGACGGUAAUGGGUAAAGAAGCACCGGCUAACUACGUGCCAGCAGCCGCGGUGAUACGUAGGGUGCGAGCGUUGUCCGGAUUUAUUGGGCGUAAAGGGCUCGUAGGUGGUUGAUCGCGUCGGAAGUGUAAUCUUGGGGCUUAACCCUGAGCGUGCUUUCGAUACGGGUUGACUUGAGGAAGGUAGGGGAGAAUGGAAUUCCUGGUGGAGCGGUGGAAUGCGCAGAUAUCAGGAGGAACACCAGUGGCGAAGGCGGUUCUCUGGGCCUUUCCUGACGCUGAGGAGCGAAAGCGUGGGGAGCGAACAGGCUUAGAUACCCUGGUAGUCCACGCUGUAAACGGUGGGUACUAGGUGUGGGGUCCAUUCCACGGGUUCCGUGCCGUAGCUAACGCUUUAAGUACCCCGCCUGGGGAGUACGGCCGCAAGGCUAAAACUCAAAGGAAUUGACGGGGCCCCGCACAAGCGGCGGAGCAUGCGGAUUAAUUCGAUGCAACGCGUAGAACCUUACCUGGGUUUGACAUGGAUCGGGAGUGCUCAGAGAUGGGUGUGCCUCUUUUGGGGUCGGUUCACAGGUGGUGCAUGGCUGUCGUCAGCUCGUGUCGUGAGAUGUUGGGUUAAGUCCCGCAACGAGCGCAACCCUUGUUCACUGUUGCCAGCACGUUAUGGUGGGGACUCAGUGGAGACCGCCGGGGUCAACUCGGAGGAAGGUGGGGAUGACGUCAAGUCAUCAUGCCCCUUAUGUCCAGGGCUUCACGCACGCUACAAUGGCUGGUACAGAGAGUGGCGAGCCUGUGAGGGUGAGCGAAUCUCGGAAAGCCGGUCUCAGUUCGGAUUGGGGUCUGCAACUCGACCUCAUGAAGUCGGAGUCGCUAGUAAUCGCAGAUCAGCAACGCUGCGGUGAAUACGUUCCCGGGGCU